rnacentral:lncRNA from 1 species
UCUUCCCAACUAUUUAAAUUCCAACAUAAUAAUUACAGUCGCAAUCUGGCAAUGACACCAGUUGCUGGUUUUCUCCCUUUCGGCAACGAUAACAAUUACAAUCGUCGAUUUUCUCCCUUCCGACGACGAUAACCCUAAAUCCUUUGCCGGUCUCAGGAUUCAUUUGACCGAAUUGAAGACGCACCCCGUGUCUGCACUUGCACAAGCGUCGCGUCGGGACGAGUUCGGCUGCGAAACCAAUGAAUCUGCGCAACAUACAAAUUAGUUAAUAAAAAGGUUAGCCAUGAUUACCUUAGAAGGCGCCCAACCCAACUCUGGAAACCAACAGAGGAGCUAAUCCUCAUAGACCUGGGACAUGACUAUUUCACAGUAAAAUUCCUCAAAGAGGAAAAUAUGCGUUUGGCCUUACAAAAAGGACCAUGGUUUAUCAAUGGCUUCUUCCUAUCUGUUAAGAAAUGACACCCUAACUUUGUAGCCUUUGAAGCAACGGAGUACUACCCCGUUGUUUGGGUUAGAUUACCCGAACUCGCCACUGAGUAUUACGAUCACUUGAAACUAUCAAAGAUAGGGGUAAGUUAGGGAAGUUGGUCAAUACAAAUAUCUAUACUUCCGCUACCUUGAGGAGAAGGUACGUAGAAUAUGUGUUGAAGUCCCCCUUAGAAUCCCAG